GACGAACGCUGGCGGCGUGCUUAACACAUGCAAGUCGAACGGAAAGGCCCUGCUUUUGUGGGGUGCUCGAGUGGCGAACGGGUGAGUAACACGUGAGUAACCUGCCCUUGACUUUGGGAUAACUUCAGGAAACUGGGGCUAAUACCGGAUAGGAGCUCCUGCUGCAUGGUGGGGGUUGGAAAGUUUCGGCGGUUGGGGAUGGACUCGCGGCUUAUCAGCUUGUUGGUGGGGUAGUGGCUUACCAAGGCUUUGACGGGUAGCCGGCCUGAGAGGGUGACCGGCCACAUUGGGACUGAGAUACGGCCCAGACUCCUACGGGAGGCAGCAGUGGGGAAUAUUGCACAAUGGGCGGAAGCCUGAUGCAGCAACGCCGCGUGCGGGAUGACGGCCUUCGGGUUGUAAACCGCUUUCGCCUGUGACGAAGCGUGAGUGACGGUAAUGGGUAAAGAAGCACCGGCUAACUACGUGCCAGCAGCCGCGGUGAUACGUAGGGUGCGAGCGUUGUCCGGAUUUAUUGGGCGUAAAGGGCUCGUAGGUGGUUGAUCGCGUCGGAAGUGUAAUCUUGGGGCUUAACCCUGAGCGUGCUUUCGAUACGGGUUGACUUGAGGAAGGUAGGGGAGAAUGGAAUUCCUGGUGGAGCGGUGGAAUGCGCAGAUAUCAGGAGGAACACCAGUGGCGAAGGCGGUUCUCUGGGCCUUUCCUGACGCUGAGGAGCGAAAGCGUGGGGAGCGAACAGGCUUAGAUACCCUGGUAGUCCACGCUGUAAACGGUGGGUACUAGGUGUGGGGUCCAUUCCACGGGUUCCGUGCCGUAGCUAACGCUUUAAGUACCCCGCCUGGGGAGUACGGCCGCAAGGCUAAAACUCAAAGGAAUUGACGGGGCCCCGCACAAGCGGCGGAGCAUGCGGAUUAAUUCGAUGCAACGCGUAGAACCUUACCUGGGUUUGACAUGGAUCGGGAGUGCUCAGAGAUGGGUGUGCCUCUUUUGGGGUCGGUUCACAGGUGGUGCAUGCCUGUCGUCAGCUCGUGUCGUGAGAUGUUGGGUUAAGUCCCGCAACGAGCGCAACCCUUGUUCACUGUUGCCAGCACGUUAUGGUGGGGACUCAGUGGAGACCGCCGGGGUCAACUCGGAGGAAGGUGGGGAUGACGUCAAGUCCUCAUGCCCCUUAUGUCCAGGGCUUCACGCAUGCUACAAUGGCUGGUACAGAGAGUGGCGAGCCUGUGAGGGUGAGCGAAUCUCGGAAAGCCGGUCUCAGUUCGGAUUGGUGUCUGCAACUCGACCUCAUGAAGUCGGAGUCGCUAGUAAUCGCAGAUCAGCAACGCUGCGGUGAAUACGUUCCCGGGGCU
rnacentral:rRNA from 1 species